rnacentral:tRNA from 1 species
GCUCCUGUGGUGUAGUGGUUUAGCACUAUGGACUUUGAAUCCAUCAACCCUGGUUCGACUCCAGGCAGGAGCU